CCAAUGUGGGGCUCGAACCUACAACCCUCAGAUCAAGAGUUGCACACUCUACCCACUAAACCAGCCAGGUGCCCCAAGUGUGGUUUUAGGGUCUUAAUUUUUAGGGCUGCAGUAACAAAUUGGGGAAGCACAUGCACCACGUGGU